CCUUAAACCCUAAAGAAACAACAUCAACAUUAAUCCAAACCUUUAAGAUAUAGGAUUUGGGUUCAGAGUUUACGAUUUAAGUUUAGGGUCAAGGGAUUAGGUUUGGGUAUAUGGUUUGAGUUUAGAGUCUAGGAUUUGGGUUUAGGAUAUAAGGUUUGGGUUUAGGGUUUACGAUUUGGAUUCAGGGUUUAGGAUUUGGGUUUAGGAUAUAGGGCUUGGGUUUAGGGUUUAGGAUUUGCGUUUAAAGUUUAGGGUUUAGUUAGUAGUGUUAGCAUCAUUAAAAUUGGCGUUAUAUUUUUUGUUUCAAUUAUUUCAGAUUUUUUUAAAUAAAAUUAAUCUAUUUUAUUGUUUAUCUAGGUGAUAUUUUGAUUGGUAAUAAAAGGAUUGGUGAAUUUAAAGGUUCACCCCUAGCCAAUACUAGGGUGAACCUAAGUCUUGUUCUUUUUUUUUGAUAGCCAAUAGUAUGGUAGUUAUUUUUUGGGAUCAAAUUUAAGCAGAUCGCAUGUGAUCUGAGAAAGGUGCUAUAAUCCUGAGGGAUAAUUUCAUCAAUAAAAGAAGUUUAUAUAUUUUUUUUAAGUUUAUUAAAUCACAAAAUCGUUUAUAAUGAUUAUUAGAAUUUUAAAACUCUAUAGUUAUUGGCUAAUAGAUUUUAACAUGCUCAUAAAAUCGAGUGUUAUAGAUUUGAUGAUUCUUGAAUGAUAUAUAUUGUCCAUUGGUAUUCAAAAUAUUUGGGUUUUAGGGAUUCUUAAUUCAAUCCAAAUCUAAUGUUAUUGGAACUUGAAUUUUAACAUUCCUUAUAUAUUAAUUGAGAAUUAUUUAAAAAGUUAUAACUUUAAGUUCGUACUAAUUAAAGAAAACUCUGCUUAGGUGUCACUUAAUUAAGAUGACAAUUUAACUUACGUGGGAGCUUAAAAAUCAAUUGAAAAAAUUAUUGGUCCAAAAUCCAAUUACUAGGAAACAUUAUAUUAAUCUAAAAUAUAAGAAGCGUGUAUUAUUUUUUUAAAUAAAAUCUACGGAAUUACAUAUAUGUGGAAAUUAAUGACUAUGAAUAAUAAAUAGAAUUUGAUAAUAAUUUUUGCAUCAUUCUUAAUUUUUGUUUAAUUUAUCUCCACUAUAUAAAAUGAACUAAAUUGAAGUAAUUCUAGGGGUGCCACAUAGCACAAAAUAUUCCUAACCAAUCAUUUGUUCAUGUAAUCAAAGUUGUUAAGCUGUUGGGUCACGAAUCUGUGAUGCGUAAUAUGCCAAUUUCUUUUAUUGACCCGUUUGUAUUAAUUUCCUCUUCUUUACGGCGUCUACAGACCCUCCAAAACUCACUGUCUUCCCAUUUCCUCCGUAUAACGCCUGCGACGGAAUCAAAGUUAUCCUCCAGACAAAUCGGUGUGUAAUUCUCCACAUCCCUCCUCUUACUCAAAGAUAUUGAUGCCUCUUGAAGACCCCUUAAUUAAUCACUCAAAUGAAAUAUCCCAGCUCUCUCCUUUCCGUCUUGAGACUAUAUAUAUAUAUAUCCCAACCCAACAAUCCCUUGCUCAGCAAACGCAUCCCAGCACUAAGGCAAAUCAAACAGCAGUCACCACCGUGCAAGCCAUUCUCUACUUUUGUUUCACCACGACCAGAAGAUUCCAAGUUGAUGUUUAGGCUAAUCAAUUUCUGGGAAACUUCCAUUAAUUCCAAAAGAGGCAUCCUUAUCGGAACCAAGUACGUGAUAGUCGAUUUCUUUAAUCAUCAUCAUCCACAGUAACUUGAUCGCUUUGGUUACAGAAUCGACCGAUUGAGAAAAUAUAAGAGACUUAGGCUCAAUUCUUCAUUGACUUCGUCAUGGAUAAGAAGAUUAGGAGUGGUUAUGGGAGUUAUAUAAGGUAUUUUAUCUAUUGGAACAAUGGCAUAGGAUUACAUUUGAUCUGAAUACAAGCAGUGUUUUGUUAUUGAUGAUGAUCAAGAACCAUUGAUUUCUCAAUUCAUGAUUGGAGAUUUCUCAAUUCAUGAUUGGAGAUGAAACCAACUCAUCAAGUAAUGGCUCUUUCUUCGAAAAUAUAAAAUACAAAAAAUUCAAAGUUAAAUGUGUUUUCGUUUGUGUUAUCAUCUACAUAUAUAUUUAACUUUGGAUUGUUUGUGUUGAAAAGGAUUACAAAUCUGAAACCUGGUGAGGAACAAGAAGAUCCAGAAAGGAGGUAUGUGUAAAUAAGAGUUUAUGGUCGGAUAACUUAGAGAGAGUGGUUGAUGAGAAUAUGAAGAUUGAAGAGAGAACUUGUAAGCAAGUAAUUACACUUGGACUUAUGUUCACUGACAAAUCCCCAUUAAAGCAAACCAAGCUUCAACGCAGAUUUAUGACAUGGUGUUUCUUCGUAUGUGUCUAGCUCAAGGCAUCAAUCAUAUAUUGUAAUUAGGUUGGGUGUAUUGAAGAAUUGAAGCAUUAUUCUUUUGUUUUGAUUUUUAAUAGAAAAGAUAGUUAUGUUACGAUUUGAAGAUAUCUUUUGUGUUUCUUUCUUAGUGAAAUUAAAUUUCUAUGAUUUUUUUCUUCGAUUUUAAAUUUCACAUACACUGAAUCCAAAGUUACAUUGUUGUCGGUACAACAGACAUAUACAAGUACAACCAAUACAAUUUACUUUUUAGGUAAGAUUUGUCCGUGCACAAAUAAACAUACCCGUAGUCUGGUUUAUCAGUCACCAUUUUCAGUCCAAUGUGAUCUCUUUUAUAUAAUUAAUAGGCAAAGCCAUCUGUGGAUAUGAAAAGGGUUCUAACGAGGUAUCUAAUGAGUAUAUCUAAUGAAUCUAAGGUUAUAGGAAAACAUGGAUGAGAUGACAUGAUCACAAGUUUUGCUCAAGUUUGCGGGAUCAAAACAAAUUCUAAAAAACACAUGUACCUAUCUUAUUAUAUAAAGGAGUGUUUACCUUCUUCCUAGGCCCUCCACAUCAGAUUCCAGCUAGGAAAGUCGAGCAAGGAGACGGCGCCACGUGUCUGUUAUUCAAAACGCGUCGUUUAAUUUAUGGAAAGUAAUAAAAAUUUAUGGGCUUUCUAUUUAUGUUAAGAAUUAAAGCCCAAAAAAAUAGACUUUACAGUCCUCAUCGCUUACCAUGCCGUAACUAGGGUUCGUCUUCUUCUUCUUCUAACACUUGGUAUCUAAAUUUUUUUUCUCUGUUAUCUGUCAGCAUCAAUGGCGUCUCGAGUAAUUGGAUUACUGAAAUCGAGUUGCAGAAUCUCUUUGUUUGUCUCCAAUCGCGUCUUAUAGCCUUCUCUUCUAAUAAUUCGAAACGUUCUGAGUUAUUCAUCGCAUUUAUCACCUUAUUAACUCCAUAGGCAACAUAAACCACUAUCUGACUUUAAUUGUGAGUUAUACCUCUGAACUACACCUAUAAAAAUCCUGGCCGAGGCUCCUCCACCGUCCAAGUGCUGUUGCUCAGAUUCUGGAAAACCAGAAAUGUUCGAGUGGGGGGGGGGGGGGGGGUGGGGAACUGAUGUCUCUUGAUAUGCUCUUACUGGAUUCAAAGGUAAUUAUGUUCUUAAACUCAUGUUCAGAUUGCUUUAUGUUCACAAAACUCAUGUUCAAAGUUUUCUUAAAGCGAUGUAAGAAAUGUUCUUAGGCUUAUGUUCAUAGUCUUCUUAUGUUAUUAAACCCAUGUUCACAGUGUUCUCGGUACAUCUGCAGAGAACUCUCGAAUUAUUUCUUAAAUCUCUCAAAGACGUUUAAUCUCAAGGUAAGACACCUAUAGAGUCAACGAAAAUGGGUAGAUAAACUACAUAAAAGGAUACAAAGAUUCAACCUUUCUGGAUUUCUAGAGUUGUCGAAC